rnacentral:lncRNA from 1 species
CCUACAAACACUUCUUCUAGCACAGGCUCUGCUGUGACGUGGAACAGAGUAGGGUGGGCACUGCAAUGUUCUUCCUCCUCACUGAGAUGAGUACCACUGAGCACAUAUCCUUGCCCUGUUUACUGGAGAAGCAGAUGGAUCACAAAUAUUGAAAAAUGAAACUUACGCUCUCAGAAGAAAAAAGUUCUAACCACAAAGUCUACUCAGGAAUCAUUUCAUCAAAGUGGAACAGGGAGAAGGUCUUCAGAUUCUGGCGUAUGUUUUCUUUUUGUGUACUGGAGACUGAACCCAGGGUCUCACGCAUGUUACCACUCAGGUAAGCAUUGAGCUAUCUCCCUAGCCCUCAAAUGCAUCUUCCAUCUACAACUCUUUCUUAAUUUUCAUGCUACAGUUUAGCAUUUUUCUAGUGAACUUAUCCUUUCUUUUUUUCUCCCCCUUAAGUUGGUGUAGGUCAAACCUAGUUUCUUAGAAAGGAAAGAACUUUGCCUUCUUUUAAUUCUUCCAGAUUUUUUCCAGAUUGUAACUUCCUUUAGUUCUUUCAGAUUUUUCUUUGAGUAUAUAUAUGCAAAUAUAACAUAUAAUGUAAUAAUAUAUGAUAAAAUACAAUUGUAUUCUCUAAGCUGUUUUAUAACAUAUUAUGAGCAUUCUUCAAAGACAAUAAAUACUAUUUAAUUUUACAAUGUAACAUUGUGUACAUAUGUCAUUGUUUAUUUAACUUUUUACUUUUGAUCAUUUUGGGAGUUCAACACUUUCUCUGUUAUUGAAAAUUCUAGUCCCUUCUUAGAACAGAUAAAUUCCUGAAAUUCACAUCACCAAAGUAAAUGUAAUUUUAAAGAAUUUUAAUUUAUACUGACUGCUUUCUUCAGAAAAUUUGUGCCAAUUUACAUUCUCAUCCAUGGUGACGAUAUUCAUUUUCUUACAUAUUUAACAACAUUGUAAUUGUUUCAUAUUUUUGUCCAUCUGGUAAAUACAAUGACACCUCCUGUUUUAAUUUGCAUUUGUCAAAUAACUGCAAAACUGAAAUCUCUUUUCACCCUAAAC